AGUGAACGCUGGCGGCAGGCCUAACACAUGCAAGUCGAACGGUAGCACAGAGGAGCUUGCUCCUUGGGUGACGAGUGGCGGACGGGUGAGGAAUACAUCGGAAUCUACCCUGUCGUGGGGGAUAACGUAGGGGAACUUACGCUAAUACCGCAUACGAACUGAGGUUGAAAGCAGGGGACCGCAAGGCCUUGCGCGAUUGGAUGAGCCGAUGUCCGAUUAGCUAGUUGGUAAGGUAAAGGCUUACCAAGGCGACGAUCGGUAGCUGGUCUGAGAGGAUGAUCAGGCACACUGGAACUGAGACACGGGCCAGACUCCGACGGGAGGAAGCGGUGGGGAAUAUUGGACAAUGGGCGAAAGCCUGAUCCAGCCAUGCCGAGUGUGUGAAGAAGGCCUUCGGGUUGUAAAGCACUUUUGUUGGGAAAGAAAAGCUAUCGGUUAAUACCCGGUGGUACUGACGGUACCCAAAGAAUAAGCACCGGCUAACUUCGUGCCAGCAGCCGCCGUAAUAC
rnacentral:rRNA from 1 species